rnacentral:tRNA from 1 species
UCCCUAGUGGUCCAGUGGUUAGGAGUCAGUUUUCACUCUUGUGGCCCAGGUUCAAUCCCUGGUUGGGGAA